rnacentral:rRNA from 1 species
CACGUAGGGUGCGAGCGUUGUCCGGAAUUAUUGGGCGUAAAGAGCUCGUAGGCGGUGUGUCGCGUCGGCCGUGAAAACCUGCAGCUUAACUGUGGGCUUGCGGUCGAUACGGGCAUCACUGGAGUUCGGCAGGGGAGACUGGAAUUCCUGGUGCAGCGGUGAAAUGCGCAGAUAUCAGGAGGAACACCGGUGGCGAAGGCGGGUCUCUGGGCCGAUAUUGACGCUGAGGAGCGAAAGCGUGGGGAGCAAACAGG